CCCAACUGCCUAACCCAGACCAAGAGAACAAAUCCCAUAGGGCAUGAGGAUCAACUUUAGAGACUCAAAUAGCAUUUUCUUUAAAGCAAUACUAGCUUGUUUAUCUCUCCUGUUCCAUUGAUCUAAAUGCAACAAAAACUUCAGCAAUAGCACAGAUGCUACCAUGAAUGACUAGCCAACAAGAAAUCCAGGACAAUGUAAUGGUUUAUCACUACUUUUGCCAACAAGCUGAGACUGAUCUGUAUUCUAUCUAUGGCAAAAGUGUUAUCAUCAAUAACAUUUGCCAAAGUUAGUAAUAGGUUUCCUGGUCUUUUCUAUUUGUAUCAUCCCCCACCCUCCACUGGGAACACUGCUCUGAUCAUUCACAUAAAAAAUGAAUCUGUAUUUCUCCCAGGUGAAGUGCCUGAAUAAUAAAAAAUGGUCUUAUUUUGCAACUCAUGUCUGGAGUUGGAUUCUCCAGCUUUGGUUUUUUAUGGACUUAAAUAAAUAAGUCUGUGUCUCUGUGUAUAGACAAAUCUUGAAAUACUUUCCUAAGUGCAAGAGGUGUUAGUUUGAGAAAAAUAGGUCCAGGCAUUUUGGACACAAAGAAAAUAGUAUUUAGUAGGGGUGCAUGGAUACUCAGGAAAAAAGAUAUUUAUUAUAUAAGGUCAGAACCAAGGCCUUACAUUAGCUAGGUUACAGAUUUGGCUCUCCACUGGUGUCUUCAAGAUGACAGGACAAUUUUUAUCCCAGUAUCCCUUCUUUUAUAAUAAAUGCAAGUAUCCUGAGAAUAGUUGAAGAGAUCAACACAAAGAGAGCAGAUUGCAGAUCUGGUGCUGACUUACCAUAUUGGUGAAGACUUGACAAGCCAUGAACAGCAAGGCACAAAGGGAUUCUAUGGGUCCUGCAUCUGUUUGAAGGCUGGGGGCCAACGAUAAGCAGGGCAAAUCAUUUUUCCAGGAAAGCCCCAGAAAUAAAGGAACUCCACCCAAAUGAAACAAACAAACAAACAAAUUAGAAGCUAUUUAUUCAGAGCUUGCUGAAGCAAAGAAAGUCAGCCACCAUCGCUUGCAUUUGGCGGAAACUCAAAGGCAGGCAAAGGAGGGGGAAUAUUCAUAAUUAAAAAGAAAGACUUCAGGAAGCACUCCACAAAUAUUUGUUGACCUGGAGUGACAUUAUCCAUCUGAAGUAUUGUCCCCUCCAAACUGGCUACCUUCAAGCCUUGUGCUUUUAAACCAAUGUGUAAAGCUGCUCUAUAUAUUUUCUGUGAAAAUCAUAUCUAAAGUGGAGAAGUUUGUGAAGCCCUGUGGAGCAAUAGCCAGGCCCACAACAGGUAUUACCUGGAAAAAUCUAUAGUUUUGGAGUUUUUUUUUUUAAAGUGAAGAAAAAAAUUAAAAUGAGUACAGAAUCGUGGACACACUACUUAUAUGCUGGAGAUAAUUUCAACAUCAUGAGAAAUGUCAGACUGAUCUAAGAAUAUGCUGGAAUAGAGUCUGAAAGACAACUGAAAUUAGUGCCUGUCGGCUUCCUGUCAGCAGAAAACAUUUUGCAAAAUGUUUGAGCUGCUUUUUUAUUUUUUAUUUUAUUUAUUUGAGAGAGAGAGAGAGAGCGUAUGAGAGAGCAUCAGUGGGAGAAGGAGCAGGAGAGGGAGAAGCAGACCCCCUGCUGAGCAGAGGGCCUGGAUCCCAGGACUCUGAGACUGUGACCUGAGCAGUCUUCAACAUUUUCCCAUUAAGUACAGUAUUGGCUAUAGAUUUAAUGAAUAUAUUUAUCAUCAUAAAGAAGUUUCUUAGUUUGCAACUUCUCAUGAAUGUGUGUUU